UGGGGAAUUUUGGACAAUGGGGGAAACCCUGAUCCAGCCAUCCCGCGUGUGCGAUGAAGGCCUUCGGGUUGUAAAGCACUUUUGGCAGGAAAGAAACGUCGCGGGUUAAUACCCCGCGAAACUGACGGUACCUGCAGAAUAAGCACCGGCUAACUACGUGCCAGCAGCCGCGGUAAUACGUAGGGUGCAAGCGUUAAUCGGAAUUACUGGGCGUAAAGCGUGCGCAGGCGGUUCGGAAAGAAAGAUGUGAAAUCCCAGAGCUUAACUUUGGAACUGCAUUUUUAACUACCGGGCUAGAGUGUGUCAGAGGGAGGUGGAAUUCCGCGUGUAGCAGUGAAAUGCGUAGAUAUGCGGAGGAACACCGAUGGCGAAGGCAGCCUCCUGGGAUAACACUGACGCUCAUGCACGAAAGCGUGGGGAGCAAACAGGAUUAGAUACCCUGGUAGUCCACGCCCUAAAACGAUGUCAACUAGCUGUUGGGGGCCUUCGGGCCUUGGUAGCGCAGCUAACGCGUGAAGUUGACCGCCUGGGGAGUACGGUCGCAAGAUUAAAACUCAAAUGAAUUGAC
rnacentral:rRNA from 1 species